rnacentral:rRNA from 1 species
GACGAACGCUGGCGGCGUGCUUAACACAUGCAAGUCGAACGGUAAGGCCCUUCGGGGUACACGAGUGGCUAACGGGUGAGUAACACGUGGGUGAUCUGCCCUGCACUUCGGGAUAAGCCUGGGAAACUGCGUCUAAUACCGGAUAGGACCACUGCCUGCAUGGGUGGUGGUGGAAAGCGUUUGUGGUGUGGGAUGGGCCCGCGGCCUAUCAGAUGGUUGGUGGGGUGAGGGCCUACCAAGGCGACGACGGGUCAGCCGGCCUGAGAGGGUGACCGGCCACACUGGGACUGAGAUACGGCCCAGACUCCUACGGGAGGCAGCAGUGGGGAAUAUUGCACAAUGGGCGCAAGCCUGAUGCAGCGACGCCGCGUGAGGGAUGACGGCCUUCGGGUUGUAAACCUCUUUCAGCACCGACGAAGCGCAAGUGACGGUAGGUGCAGAAGAAGGACCGGCCAACUACGUGCCAGCCGCCGCCGUAACAC